rnacentral:rRNA from 1 species
AGAGUUUGAUCCUGGGCGUCAGGGACAACGCUGGCGGUGUGCUUCACACAUGCAAGUCGAACGAGGUAGCAAUACCUAGUGGCGGACGGGUGAGUAACGCGUGGGAAUCUGCCUUGAGAUGGGGGAUAACGAGCCGAAAGGCUCGCUAAUACCGCAUAUGCCGAAAGGUGAAAGGAGUAAUCCGUCUUAAGAUGAGCCCGCGUCCGAUUAGCUAGUUGGUGGGUAAAGGCCUACCAAGGCGACGAUCGGUAGCUGGUCUGAGAGGAUGAUCAGCCACAAUGGGACUGGGACACGGCCCAUACUCCUACGGGAGGCAGCAGUGGGGAAUUUUACGCAAUGGGGGAAACCCUGACGUAGCGACACCGCGUGAGCGAAGAAGCCCUUUGGGGUGUAAAGCUCUGUCAGCUGGAACGAAAAAAUGACGGUACCAGCAGAGGAAGCAUCGGCUAACUACGUG